UUUAGAAAGUAUCACUGAUGUUAUGUUGAAUGGGGAUUGUAGAUUGUAAACAUGGCAGCGCCUGUAGGGAUUGAUGGGUUGGAUCCACCGCAGAAUCCUGAUACUCACGGAGCUCCUCAUGGCAGGCUUGAUCCCCAGUUUUCACCUCAGAUGCCUUACCGGCUUACGAUGGAAGAAGUAAGAGUACUAAGACAAUGCAACCGAGAUAGUUUUUAUCAGAGAUCGUUACCUUUCGCAACAAUUUUGGGUGGUACAACCUAUUUAGCCGUGAAGUCAGGUUACUUCAAGGCUCACCCUCGUUUCGGUGCCACCCCAAAAGUCAUUGUGGCAGGCCUCUUGGGUUAUUUUGUGGGGAAAGUAUCAUACCAGAGCAGAUGUGCUGAGAAAUUGAUGCAGCUUCCCAACAGUCGUAUUGGAGAAGCUCUAAGGCAAAGGAAGAGACAAGGAAAUCAAGAAAUACUAACAAUGGAUCCAAGUUUUGGUGCUGGAGUGUCAUUACCAACGUUUGGAAGUUUGGAUACAUUCUCAGAUGUAGGGCCACAACAUGACUUGGAUUCUGGAUAUCCAGCGAGUGAAGGGUUAGAUGAUACAUACAGGCCAACUCUUGACUCACCAGCAUUUGAAGAAGAGAUGCCUCUGCCUGAGGCACAGCAGCGUUCUACAACAUAUGAAGAACUACGUAGGAAGAACAGAGAAGAAUAUGAGCAAAAGAAAACAAAACCAUACAGAGGUAUAGCAGGUACUGAUGAAGUGCCUACUGUAAUUCGUCAACAAACACCAUUGGAGGAACAGGCACCUAAAAGACCUACACCACCACCUUCUUGGAACAAACCAAAAAACAAAUAUGGAGAUGUGUGGGAAGAAUAACAUGUAGGUUGUUAAUUUUUUGAAGAAUGUUAUUACGUGUGUUACUGCUGAGCUAUUCUGCACAAAACCAUUUUACAUUAUUUGCUCCGUUGCGGUCUUCAUGUGCAGAUUUUUUAGAUUGUCUUUUAUGAGGUAUUCGGCAAUAAAUUGUUUGGCUAUUAUUUUAGCAGAAAAUAUUUUUGAGUGAUUAUGUUAUUAUGAUAAAUAUUUGCAAUUGACCAACAUAUAUGCUAAUUUUCCAAAAAGUUAUUUCAAAUACAUUGAUACAAUUUUAUCUUCUGUUUA